CCGAACGGUCGCCGUCAGACGCGCGCCCGCGGCGCGCCUUGGUUCCCGCCGAAAUUCGCGACAAUUCGCGACGCGACGUACGCAAAAUUACCCGGCGCGGCUCGCCCAGGACCCGUCGUAUCGAUUUUGCCGGCGACGCGGCAGCCGAUAAUCAACACGGUAACGAGUGGAAUGCGUAUCUCGUUAAUAUUUUUGCCGUCGACAUUUUCGCCGUCCGCGCGUCACGCGAAACCGAUCCCCGGGCGACUUGACACGCGUUUCCCCGGGCGUUCGUUCCGGACGUUACCGUACGCCGUACGAAUCGGGCGCGCCAAACGCUCCGUCCGAAAGGUUCGAUCGCGGAAAACACGGAAAAUCGACGGCGGUUAUUACGACAUUAACAACAUGUUGCGAUAAUAUCAUAACCGACGGUGCUCGUGCAGAGUUUUUUAUUUAUUUUUUUUUUUUUUAACAGGAACCUAUACGCGAUGAUUUCGUCUGCGUCCGAUGAUCCAUACAGGAUGAUGGCGUACCUAUUGUUUAAACUAUCGAUUUUAAUACCGUGUGUUUGUUGUUUCGUAUUAUAUUACAUUGUUCGACACGUUUUGGUUUAUACGAACGAGACUAGUGUUAUUCGAAUAGACAAUAAAACUCGGUAACCCCAUUUUUAAACUGCGAAAUACAACCAGACAUAACAUGAAAUAUUGCAAUAUCGAUUAGUAAUUUAUUAGGCGGGUAAUAAUUUGUUUUCAUGAAGCGUAUAGACCCUUUUUUUUUUUUUUUUUAAUUUAUUUGAAUAUUAUUGAUUUUGAUUAGGUAUAAUUUACCACAUAUAUAAAGCUAGAAUGGUCGUGUGAGCUGCGCAAGAAGUAGGAAUCCGUUAUUGAAAAUAGUUUUAUAGGAAAAUCCGAGAGCUACAUCGUGUCUUCAUCGGGAAGACGGUAUCAAGCAGGAUUUUUCAAGUAUCAUAGAAAAGGAACAAAGAAAUUCGGACUGAAAGGCAACAGUAAUGAAUAGAAAAGACCGGAAGAGUCUUUUGUUCGGCAAAACGGUCUCAACGGCCGUGAAAAAAGGAAAAACAAAUUGUUAUACAUUUCUAAAUCUUGGCAAAAACCAUCAAGAUCAUAUUAUCUUAUCAAUCAUAUAGUGUUAUGUCUUAUCGUUACCUGAUUGUUUAUGUACCCAUAAUAUUACACGUUAUAUGUUCCAAAAUAAAUUGGAAAAUAAAUAAAUAAUUUAAAAUUUAAAA